UACGUAGGGGGCGAGCGUUGUCCGGAGUUACUGGGCGUAAAGCGCUUGUAGGCGGUCCACCAAGUUUGGGGUGACAGUUGCCGACUUAAUCGGCAAAGUGCCUCAAAGACUGGCGGACUUGAGGGCCACAGAGGGACAUGGAACUCCAGGUGUAGUGGUGAAAUGCGUAGAUAUCUGGAAGAACACCAAAGGCGAAGGCAGUGUCCUGGGUGGUCGCUGACGCUGAGACGCGAAAGCGUGGGGAGCAAACAGG
rnacentral:rRNA from 1 species